UCUUCAUUGGAGGCGGCGGCGGUGACGUGAAGACCGGAAGGCCUGCCUUCACCCGAGACUCGGAGGAGUGUGGUCUACGCGGCGGUGUCAUGCGGCCGGCGCAAGCCCUUAGUUGGUACCGGCGGAUGUCAGUAGUUUACGGACUGGGCGCCUGGACCCUGCUGGGCUCCUUGAUUUUUUUGAGUCAGAAAAAGAGCAAGCCGCCAGGUGAUAAAGUAGAACAAAAGGAUGCCUCAAGAAACGAACUAUUUGAGCCCCCAAAAGGCUUUUAUGUGGAAACGAUUGUCACAUAUAGAGAAGAUUUUGUUCCAGUUACUGCCAGGAUCAUCAACUAUUUGAAAUCAUGGACUGGUGGCCCUGGACCAAAAUCAUGAUUGACUGCCGAACUCUGAAAACAGAACUUUGGUUCAGCAUAUACACUUGAGAGAUACCUUGAUUUCCACUUUCCACUUGUGAAAAGUGAAUACAUUUAAGUUUGCUGUAAAAUAAAAUAAAAAAUAGGCAAUAAAUAGCCCCUUGAAGAAAAGUAAAUUGCA